rnacentral:tRNA from 1 species
GGAUUUUGAGUUGACAACAAUUUAUAAUUUGCAUUUAUAAGAAAUAUUACAUAUAUAAAAUCUU